GCUCGGUGAUGUAGUGGUAGCACGCGUCCCCGAUACGGAUCAAACGCGGGUUCGACUCCCGUCUGUGGUCG